GACGAACGCUGGCGGCGUGCUUAACACAUGCAAGUCGAACGGGAAGGCCCUGCUUAUGUGGGGUGCUCGAGUGGCGAACGGGUGAGUAACACGUGAGUAACCUGCCCUUGCCUUUGGGAUAACGUCAUGAAACUGGUGCUAAUACCGGAUAGGAGCUACUGCUGCAUGGUGGGGGUUGGAAAGUUUCGGCGGUUGGGGAUGGACUCGCGGCUUAUCAGCUUGUUGGUGGGGUAGUGGCUUACCAAGGCUUUGACGGGUAGCCGGCCUGAGAGGGUGACCGGCUACAUUGGGACGGAGAUACGGCCCAGACCCCUACGGGAGGCAGCAGUGGGGAAUAGUGCACAAUGGGCGGAAGCCUGAUGCAGCAACGCCGCGUGCGGGAUGACGGCCUUCGCGUUGUAAACCGCUUUCGCCUGUGACGAAGCGUGAGUGACGGUAAUGGGUAAAGAAGCACCGGCUAACUACGUG
rnacentral:rRNA from 1 species